rnacentral:misc_RNA from 1 species
AAUGAUACUGUGCAAAAAAAAAAAAAAAAGCUUUAAUCAAGCAUAUUUUUGGGCAAUCUCACAGAGACGAUCACACAACUCUUUUGGUUUACAGAACAUAGGCAUAUGAUCAGAACCUUCAAUCUUUAUCACUUCUUCAACAGUAUAAUUUGAAAUCAUCCAUUGCUGAAACUCCAGUGGAAUUCCUUUGUCCUCUUCGCAGAUGACAUAUACUCGGCUAACUGAUCCAUACCCUUCCUUAGAGAAAUUUUUUGCGUUGGACAAAUCGUGUAGGAACAGUGAUGAUGGCCUCACCAAAGCCUUUGCCAAUUCAAGAUCCUCAAUGGGACUUAGAUGAUAGAGCUCGGAGGAUAUGAAUUUUGGGCCAAAAAACAUUGAAGUUUGAUGCUGAAGAGAGGUGCUGUAGGGUAAAAAUUCCGUGUCCAGCCAUGCUUCGCUUGGGGUCCUUUCGUUGUACUGAUCCAAGAUAUAUGAUGGCUGGUGGACAGUAUCCGGCAUGAAAGCUGUUAAGUAAACAGCAACAGAAAUUUUCUCAGGGAAUUUCUCCAUCGCAAGAGCCAAAUUCAGGCCUCCAAGGCUGUGCCCAACAAGGGUAACCCUUUCAUUUGGUGGCAGAGAAGCCAACAACUCUAACAGAGGCUGAGUGUAUUCAGAAAGUGUGUGAACUUCUUGGAUUGGCUUCAUGUGGAUGCCGGAAGCCGCCAAGUCGAGUGCCGUGACCUGGUGGCCGGUGGUCUCUAGCAGUGGCUUGAGCUUGUACCAACUCCAUGCCCCAUGGCCGGCCCCGUGGACUAGAACAAAAUGCUUUUGUUGAUGGAGCUCAAUAACCAUUUUUGGCGGAUGGC